rnacentral:tRNA from 1 species
AUUAUUUUAGUAUAAAUAGUACAACUGACUUCCAAUCAGUAAGAUUGAAUAAAAACAAAAAUAAUA